rnacentral:lncRNA from 1 species
CACGUGUUUCUUAUAAGACAAGAACAGAAUAUAUCGGUCAAUUGAAAAUUUAGUGAUUAUUGCGAAAUGGAGGAGGAAAAUAUUUUGGAAUACAAAGUAAUAGCUGGUUUGAGGAGAACCAGCAAACUUCUGUAUGUUUGAAAAGAGGAGCAAAUAUAUAGAUUCGAAACAAGCAAAUGCGGCAUUAAAUAUUACUAUUGCUACAACAAAAAUUGCAUAAUUGGUGUGGCAGUUGAUUUUAGUAACACUAAAUACUGUCGCAAGAUUGGUAAAUUAGAUGCCCAUCAGCAUGGUCCACAAACUGAAUUAUUAAAAAAAUUAGAAGCAAUAAAUAAUAUUAAAAAGGAAGUGGAAGAAGCUCCAUUAAGACGAACAUGCCUGCGUGAAAUUUUUGAUAACAGUUGUAAAAAAUUUAAAGAAGCGUCGCACUCAUUACAAUAUGGUAAUUAACGAAGACAGUUAUUUAAUAUUAAACAAAAAACAUUUCCAAAAACGCCAAUGGAUUUUGAAGAAAUCAUUAAAGUAUUAGGAAAUGAAAAAGUUUAUAAGCAGUUUGGGAUUUUGCGUUUUGAGAAGGAUGAGAGCACUUUCUAUAUUGAUACAGUGAUCACAACCAAUUUUUCCUAUUCCAUAUUUGUGUCACCUACAAUUACGAAUUCUUUGCGUUCCAAAAACUUAUCUGAGCCUCGUACCUAUAUAAUCGAUGCGACAUUUAAUGUAAUUCCUGUAUCGAAGCAAUUUAAACAGCUUCUCAUUAUUCACAUCAUCCUUGCCGACCAUGCUCAUCCUUUUAUAUACGCUUUAAUGUCUAAAAAGUCGCAGGAAACAUAUACACAUCUUUUUCAAUAUAUCAAGUNAAACAUUCUAGACUUGCAUCCUCACACUGUCGUCAGUGGUUUUGAAAUAAGUAUGCGCAAUGCAUUUAAAAUUGUCUUUCCAACUUCAAAAAUGGUUGGAUUCUGGUUUCAUUUUACAUUUUUACGCUUUACGGCGAAAAGCGUCAAAAUUACCGAAUUUUGUCAAUAAACUCAACAAAGAUAAAGACGCCAAACGAGUAUUUCACAAAUUCCUUUAUUUACCGUUAUUGAAACGAACAGAUGUGACAAAAGCUUACAAAAUUUUAAUAACCGAAGCAAUGCAUUACUUCAAACCGUUUAUAAAAUAUUUCAAUUCCCAGUGGUGGAAAAAGGUAAAGCCCGUCAACUUUUCAGUUUAUAAAGAACCAAUUAGAACGACUAACUCUGCGGAAGGUUUGGUUUACACAGCCGGCUCAAUAUGAAAAUAACCAAACAUGGAAAUUUUUACAAAUUUUUAGAAAUGUUGUGUGACCUUGAUGAAGUGAAAUCAACUGAUUAUAUGAAAUCAAUAUCAGGUUUAGUUUCAUUAUGUAAGAAAAAAUCAUCUUGCCUCUUUCAAAAACGCGAUAUAUUGAUAAAACAACAUUUAAAUCUCUUGAAAAUGAAAAAAAUGUCUUUAAAUGAAAUUUUAAUUCGAACAUGAACAAUAUAACGGGUUGUAAAGAUUUUUUAAACGAAAUCGACAGUUCAGAUAGCGAGGCAAGUGAUGACGAUGAAAAUGCCGAAAAUUUAAGCGAAGAUGAAACUCGAAACCGUGCUCUUUGCGUUAUAUGCUUCGAACGAGAACGCAACUUUUGUUUGUCCCGUGCAAACAUUUUAAAGUUUGCCAACAAUGUUUUGGAAAUAUGAAGCAGCAUGCAAAUGAUCACCAUAUAAAAUCGUUAUGUCCA